CUGAGGCAGAAGAAUCUCUUGAACCUGGGAGGUGGAGGUUGCAGUGAGCCGAGAUCACGCCACUGCACUCUAGCCCGGGAGACAGAGUAAGAUUGUCUCAA